rnacentral:rRNA from 1 species
UACGAAGGGGCUAGCGUUGUUCGGAUUAACUGGGCGUAAAGCGCGCGUAGGCGGGUUUUAAGUCAGGGGUGAAAUCCCAAGGCUCAACCUUGGAACUGCCUUGAUACUGGAAAUCUUGAGUCCGGGAGAGGUGAGUGGAACUGCGAGUGUAGAGGUGAAAUUCGUAGAUAUUCGCAAGAACACCAGUGGCGAAGGCGGCUCACUGGCCCGGUACUGACGCUGAGGUGCGAAAGCGUGGGAGCAAACAGG